rnacentral:lncRNA from 1 species
AGAAUAUAAUAUAAAUUUUGGAUAUUAAUUUUGAGAUAUAUAAAAGUGAUUUUGAGAUAUAUAAGAUAUUGAAAAUAUUUUUAUUUUUUACUAAAAAUUAAAAUUAAUAUUUCUUAUGUAGAUAUUAAAAAAAAAUUAAGAGUAUAAAAAAAUUUUAGAAUGUAUUUCGAAUUCCCCUAAAAAUAAAAUAGAAAGUCAGAUUACGGAUGUCAAAGACAAAUUAUUCAAGAAGAAGCUUUCAAAGUGUGUAUAUGACUCGGGAAAAUAAAAUCUUGUAGUGAAAGUUGUGGUUCACAGGAAUCACAUGAGAAAUUGAAAAGGCCCCAAUUAUUAUUGACCGUCCAUAUUCAUUUCCAAACCUCUGGGUUUUUGUUAUUCGGUCAGUCAAUUUUUCUGCUCCGACGAGCACGUGGAAAACGAGGGGCCAAUAGGGGCAACCGCGUCCACAACUUCCUCGACGACGACAUGACAAAAACAACAGUUGUAUUGAAAAAAACACACCAAAAGCCAAACACACGUGUUUAUUUCUAACGCGUUACACGUAGAUAAAUACAGAGGAAAAUUGAUAAUUCAUCCUUAGACACACCAGGUCAUGUCUUGUUCUUUGCCAAUACCACCAACCCUAAAACCGAGGAACUUAUCACGUUGCAUUUUGUAUCUCAUUUUUUUUUUCAUUUUCUCGAAUUUUUUUCCUUUCCUUUCCAACAAAAUGAAAUUAAUUAUACGUUGUGAUUGAAUCUUUAAUUAGAUUUUUAUUUAUUAAUUGGGAUUUUAUUGAAAAUUACUUUCGGAUAUUAUUAAAAAAUUGUUCAAUUCUGCUUUGAGAUGGGGUUAACAUCUGUCAAAAACACCAUCUGGUUUGGUUGCAAAACUUUCCCUCACCGCUUUUCCGCCACGUGUCCAAUUAGUUGAACAUAAUGGACCCUACUUUUUGUCGUUUUCCAUGUGACGUGGCAUCCCUAAGUUUUUUUUAUUUUUUUAUUUUGUGAAAGUAAUCUGCUGCUGUCUGCUUUUCAACCGUCAAUGGGAUAAGCGAUGAGGAAGGACACUAUUGCCAGCUAUAACGCAUUACUUCCUUUUGUUUUUUUAAUGAUAAAUCUUUGGAUUUUCUGUAUUUCCUACAUAAAAUAAAGUAAUUUAAAAAUGUUUGUUUUGGUUUUCUUUUUUUUGGAGGUCUGAGUUAAUCGAAAAAGACAGCAUCUCCUUUUUUUUUUGUUUGUGUGCGUUAUAUUUGGGGAUUCGUUUUCACUCUCCCACGAUUCCCGCUAUCGUAAGCCGUAUGCAUCCACAGUACCAUUUUCUCCUGUGCUUCCGACUACUAUUAUUUAUUUAUUUUUUUUACUUUUCUUUUUAGGUUUUGUCAGUUCAAUUAUUCCAACGGCGCAUUUUAGCUUUUCAAGGCCCUUUGACAUGGAGAGGGAAGUAAAGGAGAGGAAGGGGAAAGAAUAAACAAAAACGACGUAGCUUUCUGUAUUCUUAGUGGUUAAGUCUGAACAAAAUGCAAUUUGGAAAAAGAAUUGGGACAGCGUGCCUGACUGCCUCAUGCUUUUUGGUCUGUUGAAGUGACUCUCUUCACAAGUAAUCUUAGUACUUUAUUUAUUUUUUUAUUUGAUCUGAGAGAUUAUUAUUUUUUUUACUUGAUCUGAGAGGUUAGUCUUUUUCAUUUUCAAAUAUUUCGUUUAGCCCAUUCAAGAGUUUUUUUUUAAUUUUUUUAUUCUUUGGACUAAU